CAGCAGUGAGCUGCCUCUCCAGCAGAGAAGAAGAAGCAGGUGGUGGAUGAAGGCGGAAGCAGCAGCCGCAGCAGCCGCCGCAGAUCUUUGCCAACGAUGGCCGCCUCCAGCUCAGAGUCCCACCUGGUGUUGGUGGACGAGCUCCCUUCAGACCCGCUGCUGCACAUCUUGUCCUUCCUGAGCUUCCGGGACCUGAUCCACUGCAGUUAUGUCAGCAGGAGGCUGAACGAACUGUCCAAACACAACCCGCUGUGGAAGAGUCACUGCUCCAAACACUGGCUGCUGACAGAUGCCGACCGGCUGCAGAGUGGACUGUCCUGGUCCUGUCUGUUCAAGCAGAACUACAAA